rnacentral:lncRNA from 1 species
UUUACAUUCAGUUAUUGAAAGAUCUCUAAGAGGUAAAGAUGGUUCUCUGGGUUCCUGAUAAAAGUGUCUAGAUAGAUGGUAGAGGGCAAUUCCAAGAGGGCAACUCCAAGAUAGAAAAUUUGGAAAAAGAACAAAUUUAGGGGAAACAGAAGAUAAGCGAGUUCAGGUUCCAGUCAUGCGGUGUUGGAGAUGCCUGUGUCAUCUGAUGAAGACUAGUACGCAGCUGGAUAGCAGAGUCCGAAACUCAGGUGGAGGUGAAGUUAUGAGGGAAUUAUCACAAUCUAGUUUGGAUUCAUAUUUCUUAAAUAUGUAUGACAACUUACCAACUGGAAUGUUCUAGCUAAUAUCUCAACUUAGAAUCCAUCUCACUACCAAUGGGCAAACACUUGUGUUCUAAAGUUACUUGCAAGUAGUUUAUACUGCCAACUUGAUAUAUAUACAUGCUAUAGUUUGAACAUUUUGUGUACUUCCAAAAUUCACAUUAAAAUCUAAUCCACAAUGCGUUGGUAUUAUUAAGAGGUGGGGCCCUUAGGGGUGAUUAGGCCAGGAGGGCUCCACACUCAUGGAUGGGAUCAGUGCCUUUCUAAGAGGGCUUGAGGGAGAGAGUUUGUCCCUUUUACCCUUCUGAUACUGCGAGAAGGCACCGUACUGGAAGCAGAAAGCAAGCCCUUACCAAACACCAAUCUGCUGGUGCCAAAUCUUAGACUUCUCCAGCCUCCAGAAGUGCAAGAAGUAAAUAUUAUUUAUAAAUUCUUAGUCUAUGGCAUUUUGUUACAGCAGCAGGAAUAGACUAAGACAAUGUGUUGAUAGGUUUAGGGUCAUGUUUUACUUUUUCAGUCAUGUUAAAUUUUAGAUGGUUCUAAAGUCAAAACUCUAGAAAAAGUUAAAUUCACAGAAUAGCUUCCAUCCUCAUCUCCUUCCUUCCCCUGCUAACAAUUUUUAUUAGCUUUGGGUUUACUCGUUUCUUUUUGAAACAUAAGCAAAUACACCUAUGUGCAUACAUUCACAUUUCUCACCCUUUCUUACACAAAUGUAGUGGGUAUACCAUAAAUGUUCUGCACUUUGCUUUUCCACUUACUCUAUCCUGGAGACCAUUUUACGUUAUAUAGAACUCUUCAUUGUUUUGUGACUUAAGUACUCCCUCAUGUGGAUGCACCAUAAUACAUUCCUGUUAAAUAGACACGAGUAUUUUUAAUCUUUUGCAUAUAGCAUUCCAAAUUUUUCUAAAUGUACCUUUCAGAGCCCAGAAAGAAGUUAAAAUUCUGGGUCAAAGGAUAAAUGAAUAUGUCAUUCUGAUGGUUAUUACCAAAUACUCUUUCUGAGACAAGAGUCUUACUCUGUCACCCAGGCUGGAGUGCAGUGGCACAAUCUCAGCUCACUGCAACCUCUGCCUCCCGGGUUCCAGUGAUUCUCGUCCCUCGGCUUCCCAGGUUCAAGUGAUUCUUGUCCUUCAGUCUCCCGAGUAGCUGGAGUUACAGGCAUCUGCCACCAUGCCCAGCUAGUUUUUUUUAUUUUCAGUAGAGACAGGGUUUCACCAUGUUGGCCAGAUGGUCUUGAACUCCUGACCUCAAGUGAUCCGCCCACCUUGGCCUCCCAAGGUGUUGGGAUUACAGGUGUGAGCCACUGCACCUGCCCAAAUAUUCUUGUUAACCAAAGUUUAACUUUUGCAUUCCAUUCCCAUAUAUGUGUCCUUAUUUCUCCACAGCCUCAACUCAAUACAGUUGUUUUUAUACUUCUUUUUCAAGUGAAAGGUAAAAACACUGGUUUAUUCUCUUCUGAAC